GCAGCUCUGGCCCUGCAGCUGAGCACAGGCCAACCUGGUCCUGAACGAGGCUGUGGGGGCCCUGAUGUACCACACCAUCACGCUCACCAGGGAGGACCUGGAGAAGUUCAAAGCCCUCCGCAUCAUCGUCCGGAUUGGCAGUGGUUUUGACAACAUCGACAUCAAGUCGGCCGGGGAUUUAGGCAUCGCCGUCUGCAACGUGCCUGCAGCGUCUGUGGAGGAGACGGCCGACUCGACGCUGUGCCACAUCCUGAACCUGUACCGGCGGGCCACCUGGCUGCACCAGGCGCUGCGGGAGGGCACACGAGUCCAGAGCGUCGAGCAGAUCCGCGAGGUGGCGUCCGGCGCCGCCAGGAUCCGCGGGGAGACCUUGGGCAUCAUCGGACUUGGUCGCGUGGGGCAGGCAGUGGCGCUGCGGGCCAAGGCCUUCGGCUUCAAUGUGCUCUUCUACGACCCUUACUUGUCGGAUGGCGUGGAGCGGGCGCUGGGGCUGCAGCGUGUCAGCACCCUGCAGGACCUGCUCUUCCACAGCGACUGCGUGACCCUGCACUGCGGCCUCAACGAGCACAACCACCACCUCAUCAACGACUUCACCGUCAAGCAGAUGAGACAAGGGGCCUUCCUGGUGAACACAGCCCGGGGCGGCCUGGUGGACGA
rnacentral:sRNA from 1 species